rnacentral:rRNA from 1 species
GAGUUUGAUCGUGGCUCAGAUUGAACGCUGGCGGCAUGCCUUACACAUGCAAGUCGAACGGCAGCACGGGAGCUUGCUCCUGGUGGCGAGUGGCGAACGGGUGAGUAAUGCAUCGGAACGUAUCCUGGAGUGGGGGAUAACGGUAGCGAAAGUUACGCUAAUACCGCAUAUUCUGUGAGCAGGAAAGCGGGGGACCUUCGGGCCUCGCGCUCUUGGAGCGGCCGAUGUCGGAUUAGCUAGUUGGUGAGGUAAAGGC